rnacentral:rRNA from 1 species
AACGAACGCUGGCGGCAUGCCUAACACAUGCAAGUCGAACGAGACCUUCGGGUCUAGUGGCGCACGGGUGCGUAACGCGUGGGAACCUGCCCUUAGGUUCGGAAUAACUCCCCGAAAGGGGUGCUAAUACCGGAUAAUGUCUUCGGACCAAAGAUUUAUCGCCUUUGGAUGGGCCCGCGUUGGAUUAGCUAGUUGGUAGGGUAAAAGCCUACCAAGGCGACGAUCCAUAGCUGGUCUGAGAGGAUGAUCAGCCACACUGGGACUGAGACACGGCCCAGACCCCUCGGGGGGGAGGAAGGGGGGAAAAUUGGAAAAGGGGGGAAAGCCUGAUCCAGCAAGGCCGGGUGAGUGAUGAAGGCCUUAGGGUUGUAAAGCUCUUUUACCCGGGAUGAAAAGGACAGAACCGGGAAAAUAAGCCCCGGUUAACUCCGU